AUACGUAGGUGGCAAGCGUUGUCCGGAAUUAUUGGGCGUAAAGCGCGCGCAGGCGGUCCUUUAAGUCUGAUGUGAAAUCACGUGGCUCAACCACGUGCGGUCAUUGGAAACUGGAGGGCUUGAGUGCAGAAGAGGAAAGUGGAAUUCCAAGUGUAGCGGUGAAAUGCGUAGAGAUUUGGAGGAACACCAGUGGCGAAGGCGACUUUCUGGUCUGUAACUGACGCUGAGGCGCGAAAGCGUGGGGAGCAAACAGGAUUAGAUACCCUGGUAGUCCACGCCGUAAACGAUGAGUGCUAAGUGUUAGGGGGUUUCCGCCCCUUAGUGCUGCAGCAAACGCAUUAAGCACUCCGCCUGGGGAGUACGGUCGCAAGACUGAA
rnacentral:rRNA from 1 species